rnacentral:rRNA from 1 species
CCUACGGGGGGCUGCAGUGGGGAAUAUUGGACAAUGGGGGCAACCCUGAUCCAGCCAUGCCGCGUGUGUGAAGAAGGCCCUCGGGUUGUAAAGCACUUUCAGUGAGGAAGAACGCCUGGUGGUUAAUACCCAUCAGGAAAGACAUCACUCACAGAAGAAGCACCGGCUAACUCCGUGCCAGCAGCCGCGGUAAUACGGAGGGUGCGAGCGUUAAUCGGAAUUACUGGGCGUAAAGCGCGCGUAGGUGGCUUGAUAAGCCGGGUGUGAAAGCCCCGGGCUCAACCUGGGAACGGCAUCCGGAACUGUCAAGCUAGAGUGCAGGAGAGGAAGGUAGAAUUCCCGGUGUAGCGGUGAAAUGCGUAGAGAUCGGGAGGAAUACCAGUGGCGAAGGCGGCCUUCUGGACUGACACUGACACUGAGGUGCGAAAGCGUGGGUAGCAAACAGGAUUAGAUACCCGGGUAGUC